CAGUCGCCGCGGUAAUACGAAGGGUGCAAGCGUUAAUCGGAAUUACUGGGCGUAAAGCGUGCGUAGGCGGUGAGUUAAGUCUGCUGUGAAAUCCCCGGGCUCAACCUGGGAAUGGCAGUGGAUACUGGCUCGCUAGAGUGUGUCAGAGGAUGGUGGAAUUCCCGGUGUAGCGGUGAAAUGCGUAGAGAUCGGGAGGAACAUCAGUGGCGAAGGCGACUAUCUGGGCCAACACUGACACUGAGGCACGAAAGCGUGGGGAGCAAACAGGAUUAGAUACCCCUGUAGUCCCUGUCUCUUAUAC
rnacentral:rRNA from 1 species